rnacentral:rRNA from 1 species
AUUGAACGUUGGCGGCAGGCCUAAAACAUGCAAGUCGAACGGUAACAGCGGGAGCUUGCUCCCGGCUGACGAGUGGCGGACGGGUGAGUAACACGUAGGAAUCUACCUAGUAGUGGGGGACAACCCGGGAAACCCGGGCUAAUACCGCAUACGCUCUACGGAGGAAAGCGGGGGAUCUUCGGACCUCGCGCUAUUGGAGGAGCCUGCGUCGGAUUAGCUAGUUGGUGGGGUAAAGGCCUACCAAGGCGACGAUCCGAGCUGGUCUGAGAGGACGAUCAGCCACACUGGAACUGAGACACGGUCCAGACUCCUACGGGAGGCAGCAGUUAAGAAUCUUGGGCAAUGGGCGCAAGCCUGACCCAGCCAUGCCGCGUGUGUGAAGAAGGCC